rnacentral:rRNA from 1 species
AUUGAACGCUGGCGGCAGGCCUAACACACGCAAGUCGAGCGGAUGAAGGGAGCUUGCUCCUGGAUUCAGCGGCGGACGGGUGAGUAAUGCCUAGGAAUCUGCCUGGUAGUUGUGUAUAACGUCCGGAAACGGGCGCUAAUACCGCAUACGUCCUGAGGGAGAAAGUGGGGGAUCUUCGGACCUCACGCUAUCAGAUGAUCCUAGGUCGGAUUAGCUAGUUGGUGGGGUAAAGGCCUACCAAGGCGACGAUCCGUAACUGGUCUGAGAGGAUGAUCAGUCACACUGGAACUGAGAAACGGUCCAGACCCCUACGGGAGGCAGCAGGGGGGAAUAUUGGACAAUGGGCGAAAGCCUGAUCAAGCCAUGCCGGGUGUGUGAAGAAGGUCUUCGGAUGGUAAAGCACUUUAAGUUGGGAGGAAGGGAAGUAAGUUAAUACCUUGCUGUUUUGACGUUACCAACAGAAUAAGCACCGGCUAACUUCGU